CUGAGUGAUGCCGGUUUGGUCGCUGGGUGUGAUAUGACCCCAGAAGCUGCUCUUUCAAAACUCUCCUAUGUGCUGGCAAAACAAAACCUCAGUAUAGAAGAGAAGAAAAAGAUGCUGAGUCGCAAUCUGCGUGGUGAGAUGAUAGCUGACCUG